rnacentral:piRNA from 1 species
UGUUUAAGUUAGGGCACGGAUUUUUGCAA